rnacentral:rRNA from 1 species
UACGUAGGGCGCAAGCGUUGUCCGGAAUUAUUGGGCGUAAAGAGCUCGUAGGCGGCGUGUCACGUCGGUUGUGAAAGCCCGGGGCUUAACUCCGGGUCUGCAGUCGAUACGGGCAGGCGUAGAGUUCGGUAGGGGAGAUCGGAAUUCCUGGUGUAGCGGUGAAAUGCGCAGAUAUCAGGAGGAACACCGGUGGCGAAGGCGGAUCUCUGGGCCGAUACUGACGCUGAGGAGCGAAAGCGUGGGGAGCGAACAGG